GUGGGGAAUAUUGGACAAUGGGCGAAAGCCUGAUCCAGCCAUGCCGCGUGUGUGAAGAAGGUCUUCGGAUUGUAAAGCACUUUAAGUUGGGAGGAAGGGCAGUAAGUUAAUACCUUGCUGUUUUGACGUUACCGACAGAAUAAGCGCCGGCUAACUCUGUGCCAGCAGCCGCGGUAAUACAGAGGGUGCAAGCGUUAAUCGGAAUUACUGGGCGUAAAGCGCGCGUAGGUGGUUCGUUAAGUUGGAUGUGAAAGCCCCGGGCUCAACCUGGGAACUGCAUCCAAAACUGGCGAGCUAGAGUACGGUAGAGGGUGGUGGAAUUUCCUGUGUAGCGGUGAAAUGCGUAGAUAUAGGAAGGAACACCAGUGGCGAAGGCGACCACCUGGACUGAUACUGACACUGAGGUGCGAAAGCGUGGGGAGCAAACAGGAUUAGAAACCCGGGUAGUCC
rnacentral:rRNA from 1 species